rnacentral:rRNA from 1 species
CAGCCGCCGCGGUAAUACGGAAGGUCCGGGCGUUAUCCGGAUUUAUUGGGUUUAAAGGGAGCGUAGGCCGGAGAUUAAGCGUGUUGUGAAAUGUAGAUGCUCAACAUCUGCACUGCAGCGCGAACUGGUUUCCUUGAGUACGCACAAAGUGGGCGGAAUUCGUGGUGUAGCGGUGAAAUGCUUAGAUAUCACGAAGAACUCCGAUUGCGAAGGCAGCUCACUGGAGCGCAACUGACGCUGAAGCUCGAAAGUGCGGGUAUC